rnacentral:rRNA from 1 species
AUCUACAGCCAUACCACCCUGAAUGUGCCCAAGCUCAUCUAGUCUAGAAAAGCUAAGCAGGGUCUGGCCUGUUCAGUACUUGGAUGGGAGAAAGGACAGAGAUUGUAUUAU